GAUUGUUUUAAGCCUUCUAUGCUUUACAAUGCUUUACUUUGGACUGCUUGCCUGUUGCAGACCAUGCCUGUCUCUGACUCUCCUGCUUCGUCGAUUCCCUGUGUCCUUUGGAGCAGGUGAGACAUCUCAGUACAUCAGGAGACAGCUGGAACAUCUGGAGUGAUGACUCAAGUUUUCCAAACAGACGUUGGGAACAAAUACAACUUCGGCUAUUAACACUGGAUUCCCAGCAUUUCUUCUUUGGAGUUUACAGCUUCAAGAUAAAAAAACAACUACUAACUAAUGUCUUAUUCGCUCCAGUGCAUCGUGGGAAAAAUAACUCCAAACAGGCGGUAUAAU